rnacentral:rRNA from 1 species
UACAGAGGGGGCAAGCGUUAUUCGGAAUUAUUGGGCGUAAAGGGCGCGUAGGCGGCCUGGCAAGUGGAAGGUGAAAUCCCUCGGCUUAACCGAGGAACUGCAUUGGAUACUGGAAAGCUAGAGGACGAUAGAGGAUGGUGGAAUUCCUGGUGUAGGGGUGAAAUCCGUAGAUAUCAGGAGGAACAUCAGUGGCGAAGGCGGCCAUCUGGAUCGUACCUGACGCUGAGAUACGAAAGCGUGGGGAGCAAACAGG